UACGUAGGGUGCGAGCGUUGUCCGGAAUUAUUGGGCGUAAAGAGCUCGUAGGCGGUGUGUCACGUCGGCCGUGAAAACCUGCAGCUUAACUGUGGGCGUGCGGUCGAUACGGGCAUCACUGGAGUUCGGCAGGGGAGACUGGAAUUCCUGGUGUAGCGGUGAAAUGCGCAGAUAUCAGGAGGAGCACCGGUGGCGAAGGCGGGUCUCUGGGCCGAUACUGACGCUGAGGAGCGAAAGCGUGGGGAGCAAACAGG
rnacentral:rRNA from 1 species